GGCUCAGAACGAACGCUGGCGGCGUGGAUAAGACAUGCAAGUCGAGCGCUGAUUGUCGGGUAGCAAUAUUCGGCAGUCGGAGCGGCGCAAGGGUGCGUAACACGUGGGUAAUCUGCCAUGAAGUUUGGGAUAACUUGCUGAAAGGCGAGCUAAUACCGGAUGUGAACGUUGGGAGGCAUCUCCUGAUGUUUAAAGCUGGGGACCGUAAGGCCUGGCGCUUCAUGAUGAACCCGCGGCCUAUCAGCUAGUUGGUGAGGUAACGGCCCACCAAGGCUAAGACGGGUAGCUGGUCUGAGAGGACGACCAGCCACACUGGAACUGAGACACGGUCCAGACACCUACGGGUGGCAGCAGUCGAGAAUUUUUCACAAUGGGCGAAAGCCUGAUGGAGCGACGCCGCGUGGGGGAUGAAUGGCUUCGGCCCGUAAACCCCUGUCAUUCGCGAUCAACCGUUGUUAUUUAAAAGAUGACAGCCUGAUAGUAGCGGAAGAGGAAGGGACGGCUAACUCUGUGCCAGCAGCCGCGGUAAUACAGAGGUCCCGAGCGUUGUUCGGAUUCACUGGGCGUAAAGGGUGCGUAGGUGGUGAGGUAAGUCGGAUGUGAAAGCUCGGAGCUCAACUCCGAAAUGGCAUUGGAAACUACCUUGCUGGAGGAUUGGAGGGGGGACUGGAAUACUUGGUGUAGCAGUGAAAUGCGUAGAUAUCAAGUGGAACACCAGUGGCGAAGGCGAGUCCCUGGACAAUUCCUGACACUGAGGCACGAAAGCUAGGGGAGCAAACAGGAUUAGAUACCCUGGUAGUCCUAGCCGUAAACGGUGCACGUUUGCUGUAAAAGGAAUCGACCCCUUUUGUGGCGUAGCCAACGCGUUAAACGUGCCGCCUGGGGAGUACGGUCGCAAGAUU
rnacentral:rRNA from 1 species